AACGAACGCUGGCGGCGCGCCUAAUACAUGCAAGUCGAGCGAGAAGACGUAGCAAUACGUUUGUAAAGCGGCGAACGGGUGAGGAAUACAUGGGUAACCUACCCUCGAGUGGGGAAUAACUAGCCGAAAGGUUAGCUAAUACCGCGUACGCUCCUUGGACUUCGGUUCAGGGAGGAAAGCGAUACCGUGGGUAUCGCGCUCUUGGAUGGGCUCAUGUCCUAUCAGCUUGUUGGUGAGGUAACGGCUCACCAAGGCUUCGACGGGUAGCUGGUCUGAGAGGACGAUCAGCCACACUGGCACUGCGACACGGGCCAGACUCCUACGGGAGGCAGCAGUAAGGAAUAUUGCGCAAUGGGCGAAAGCCUGACGCAGCGACGCCGCGGUGGGGGAGUGAA
rnacentral:rRNA from 1 species